rnacentral:rRNA from 1 species
CUUGGGAGUCAGACUGUGGGUGAUAAGAUUCAUAGUCGAAAGGGCAACAGCCCAGAUCGUCAGCUAAGGUCCCUAAAUGUAAGUUAAGUGGUAAAGGAUGUGGGAUUGCACAGACAACCAGGAUGUUGGCUUAGAAGCAGCCACUCAUUCAAAGAGUGCGUAAUAGCUCACUGGUCGAGUGAUCCUGCGCCGAAGAUUUCCGGGGCUAAAACUUACUACCGAAGCUACGGCAUCAGUAAUGAUGGGUAGGGGAGCUUCCCAUACGGGUUGAAGCAUGACCGUAAGGACAUGUGGACAGUAUGGGAGUGAGAAUGUUGGCAUGAGUAGCGAGAUGUGGGUGAGAAUCCCACAGGCCGUAAACCCAAGGUUUCCAGGGGAAGGUUCGUCCGCCCUGGGUUAGUCGGGACCUAAGCUGAGGCCGAAAGGCGUAGGUGAUGGACAACAGGUUGAUAUUCCUGUACUACCGAUAACCGUUUGAGAGAUGGGAUGACACAGUAGGAUAAGCUAAGCACACUGUUGGUUAUGUGUGCCCAAGCAUUGAGGCAGUCAAAGUAGGUAAAUCCGCUUUGAUAAUGCUGGGAUGUGAUGGGGAGCGAAAUUUAGUAGCGAAGUAGCUGAUUUCACACUGUCAAGAAAAGUCUCUAUCGAGGUUAAAGGUACCCGUACCGCAAACCGACACAGGUGGGUGAGGAGAGUAUCCUAAGGCCAGCGAGAGAACUGUUGUUAAGGAACUCGGCAAAAUGACCCCGUAACUUAGGGAUAAGGGGUGCCACCAUCAGGUGGCCGCAGAGAAUAGGCCCAAGCGACUGUUUACCAAAAACAUAGGUUUCUGCUAAGUCGCAAGACGAUGUAUAGGAGCUGACGCCUGCCCGGUGCUGGAAGGUUAAGGGGAUCUGUUAGAGCAAUCGAAGCAGUGAACUUAAGCCCCAGUAAACGGCGGCCGUAACUAUAACGGUCCUAAGGUAGCGAAAUUCCUUGUCGGGUA